CUGUACAUAUAUUAGUAUGAAUUAAUAUAGAUGAACCAGAAAGAGUAGCAAGCUGAAAACAAUGAUAGAACCCUCUACUUUUUCUUAUGACGAAAUGCAUUAAACAGGAAUGAUGACAAUUUGCAAAGGAACGUUGGAUGAUAAACAUUGUUAGGUCCAAUAUCCAGCUUAACAGCUAGUUACUGUUUGUCAAACAUGAUGGAAAAAAUGCACUGAAUUAAUGGGGCACCAGUCUCUAACACAUUUUAAUAGGUAUUGGUCUUUUAAUUAUGUGAUAUUUGUUUCUUUUGAAGCCUAAAAUUGUGUCCGUUGCAACUUUUUUUUUACAUACCUCUGUCUCUUACCACAGUCCCCGUUUCACUAAAGUUCUUCCUGUUUGACUUCCUUCUCUGAGUGUACUCAACAGCCAAGAGAUCAAUGACCAUAGAAGGAAAAGGACAGUCUAGAGAGUCACAUGUCUAAAUGUCUAUUUGUGUGUCUGUUUAUGUCCUAUCAGCAUGUGAAUGGCAUUAUCUCUGAAAUUUCAUGACAUUUUAGUAGUUGCUUUUGCAUGGUGAGAUCACCCUCUUGAAUCAGAGAGAUGAUUCCGUGUGAGACUGAAUAGCACAUAUAUACAGUGGAGAGGGCAAAACACAGACAGAGAGAGUAUGACGAACAGGUAGUGGAUAGAAAAGGACUAAUUCGGGACAAAUUAAACAAGGGAAAGAGAAAAGAGUAACUAAUAACAAAAUAAAAAU